ACACAGUCUCAUGGACUGUGUCAUGAGCAAGUAGUCAAGCUCCUUUCGUGGAGGAGAUAAUUUGGGAUCCAAUAAUACAGAUGCACAAUCUCUGACCAAAAAGUCACAAAGUCUUAAGGGACAUGGCCUGGGCACAAUGUUAACAAAACUCCCUAUUUUCCCCACCCCAUAGUAGCUCAACACCCACAAUGUGCACUUAUAUCCGGUGUCCCCAGCCAAAGCCAGUGGGAAGCUCAGCACCAUCAGUGUCACUGUCAGCGCUGCCAUGCGGGAGCCUCCAGGGAGCUUCACACACCAUGCUGGAGAACAGGAAAGGACCAGGGGCCAGAGGAGGAGGCAAGUCUUACUCAGGAAGAACUAUGAACCCCUCCACCCACAUUCCAAAUUAUGGGGAGGAGGUUACUGACUUCCUUGCUCCUGGGUUGGGUAAUCUCGUGUUGGAGAACCAAUCAGCAUCUGAGUUCAAUAGCAUCAUCAGUUGCUGGUCAGAGAUGCUGUAUGAAGGUCCUCUUCUGAAACAGAAUUUCCUUCUUUAAAGGAUUGUUUUUAAAUUAGUACUUGAAAGAUUUGAUCCAGUUGCAUGUAAAACACUUUAAUUGGGUCCGAUUGUGAGCCAGCUCUGUGCUGGUCAGUGAUGUGUUCAUAAGUUUGAGCCUUGUAAGAGCAUUCAUUUCCCACUUAACAAGACAACUGUUUGCAGAAGUGAGUGUGUGAGUGUGUUUAGGAGUAAAGGAGAUGGAAGGAACAUGGUUGUAAAUCCGGAGACAUUUAAACUGGUCCUUAUUGCACCAUAUCUUAAUGUUGUAGAUUUGGGAAAAUUAUUUCAUGUCUCACAGUUGAAAUGAAGGCACUGUGAUCUUUCAGGUCUUUCGAUACUGGAAAAUGCUGUGAUUCUGUGGACGCCUGAAGGAGCAGCAGCCCCGGGUAUCUGAUAAUAUGACAGAAUGACAGCUAUUGACUAGAGAGCUUAAUCCGUACCUGUUUACAGGUAGGGAUGUCUUUAAUAAGUUAAAGGAAAUUGAAAGUUUGUUAAUAAUUUAAUCUGAGUAAGAAUAUCUUUUUCAAGUGUGUCUCCUGAUGCUGCCCCCAGGUUUAGUGGCCCCUCCAGAACACACACAGGCAAGGGGCUAACAGGGGCCACCUAUGUGCAAUGGAGGGUCUGAAGGUGCCUUUGUAUGGCAUUUACCCUAACAAUGUGAUAAGGUCAACUGUGCAAUCCAAGUAUUCAUGGGUCUGAGAGAUCGAUCGAAGACUGUGAAAGUUAGCUGUUCAUAGAACAACUCUUUUUUUUUUGAGACGGAGUCUGUCUCUGUUGCCCAGGCUGGAGUGCAGUGGAGCGAUCUCAGCUCACUGCAACAUCUGCCUCCUCGGUUCAAAGAUUCUCCUGCCUCAACCUCCCAAGUAACUCUGACUACAGGCACUUGCCACCAUGCUUGGUUAAUUUUUUGUAUUUUUAGUGGAGAUGGGUUUCACUGUGUUAGCCAAGAUGGUCUCGAUCUCCUGACCUCAUGUUCUUCCUGCCUCG
rnacentral:lncRNA from 1 species